GAAUGUUGACUGUCACAUGUCACGUUCUUAUUGAAUGAUGAUUGUCACGUACCAUGUUAUGAUUGGAUAUCAACUCCAUGAAAGAUGAAAUGCAUUAUUAUUUUCACUAACCAAUCAUAACAUAACACGUGAUCGUCAUCAUCCAAUAAGAACGUGACACAUGACAAUCAACAUUC
rnacentral:pre_miRNA from 1 species